ACUGCACGACAGAAGUGCGGGGCCAACAAGGUCAACACGCGGCAACCUUCUCCUAGGCGGGAGGAAAGCUUCCAAGCAAGGCAGACUGUAGGCAGCAGGCAGCAAGGUUUUCGCAGUCAUACUUAUGUACCUUGAUGUUCAUAGAAGCCUGGUUCUGCUUUAGCUGCGAGCCUGCAUCAUGGAAGGUCGGGCAACAUGGUCGGCGGUCGGCGCGCUUAGUGGACUGGGGCUAUCAACAAGCUCCGAGCGGCAAAAGGUGACCUCAGUCCAAAGCCGGCUGCGCUGCAACGCAUGUUUGUAUCCUCAAGUCGCGACUCAAUCUCGCUCCGGCCGAACUCGUCCCUACCCCAGCUCCGGCCCCGCUUAAAGCGUACCCUUGUUAGCUGCCUGAGCCUCCUCAAGCUUCUUGGCGCGGCGCAUCGCCGACUUCUGCCCGUUUCCUCCGCCCAUUUCGAUUGGAAGUCUUUAGAAGGUCUGGUCCUAUGCUGAGGGCCCAAAGUUUGCCAAGUUAUUGCUUUGCGUGAAGCUAUUUGUGCGUGCUGCGGUGCAACAUACAACCCUUCAAGCCAGCAUCAGUCGCUGGAUGCUUUCAAGUGGCGCUCGGUGCCGCGUCCGCCCUAACUCACAUCACGUCAACAAUACUCUCGUAUUGUGCUUGCGCGUGUUUCUAUGCGACGAUUGGACGAGUGCCAAGGCUGCCCCUCCCCCGUCGCCCAGCGCCCCGCCCCGCACCACCUGAGCCAGGGGUACCCUGACCUUAGCUACAGCCACGAAUUCAGGGGUACUCCCUCAAACAUUACAUAGUGUGCACCAGAAAUGCCUCAAGCAGGCAUUGACACAUCCUCAAUCACCAUAAAUACAAUUGCGUAACUGGCCCAAGGAACCUGUCGCACCCUGUUGCACCCUCACCUCACUGCGUUCUAAAUCCGGAAUGUUCACAGGUAUUCACCGCCCGCCGUCCAUGCCUACCACGGCACAGGACCACAACCGCCUACAACGCACGCCUGACGCAGUGACGCGUCUGAAAUAUCACAUUAACCAGCACGCCGAGUAGACCCGGAUCACAGGGCGUCCCACAGCGUGGCCGCC
rnacentral:lncRNA from 1 species